rnacentral:rRNA from 1 species
UACAGAGGGGGCAAGCGUUAUUCGGAAUUAUUGGGCGUAAAGGGCGCGUAGGCGGCUUUGCAAGUGACGGGUGAAAUCCCUCGGCUUAACCGAGGAACUGCCUGUCAAACUGCAUGGCUUGAGACCGGGAGAGGUGAGUGGAAUUCCCAGUGUAGCGGUGAAAUGCGUAGAUAUCAGGAAGAACACCCGUGGCGAAGGCGGCUCUCUGGGACGGUACUGACGCUGAGACGCGAAAGCGUGGGGAGCGAACAGG